rnacentral:tRNA from 1 species
GUCCCUGUAGCGCAAUCGAUGGUGCGUUGGACUUCUAAUCGAAUGGCCGUGGGCUCGAAUCCCACCUGGGAUG